CUUAAAAUUUUAGGAUGCAUUUAAAGCCUCCCAACUACAGUCAUAUACCACAAAUAUAAAUAAUGUCAUAGAUGGAAGAAGGUGAGGAAUCUUGAUUUUAAGUUUCACUAGACUUCUUUCAAUUUCUACUUUGUGCAUUGCAAUUGAAUAUGGAGUUCACUGAAGAAAAAAUUAGAUGGUUGAAGCCUAAGGGGUAUCAAAACAAAUUCUUGCAUGGAAUAAGACAAGCUCUGUGUAGUUGAAAAUUUCCAAAUUUUGGUCAACAAUUUAAUAAGAUGAAUGUGAUCAAUUUUUCACAAUUAAAGAAUUUAUGAAUCUGAAACUUGACAAUCGACAUAUUUGGAAAUUUGACAAUACAGAAAGAAUCUCCCUGUUGUAUGAUGUCAAGUUAAAGGAUCAGAUUGUAUUAGUUAUUUUGCCCCACUAAAAAAGAAAACCUAUUUGUAUGGGAGCUAAAUUAAUAAAAAAAAAUUAUGACAAUGGAAUUUACCUUCUUAGUUGGUUGAUCCACAAGGGCUUUAAUCACCACUGAUUCUAAAUCAAAGGUUGACAGAAUCCAAAGAAAGAUUGGAGGGAAUCAAGAAAGAUGAUAUUUUGACAGAAUUGAAGAAGCAGUUAAGUCUGGCGGGGCCAAUAGUAGCAAUGAAUCUGUUAUUGUAUUGUUUACAUGUAAUAUCUGUUAUGUUUGUGGGUCAUCUUGGUGAGCUUCCUCUCUCUGGUGCUUCCAUUGCCACCUUCUUUGCCUCUGUCACUGGCUUCAGCCUCUUGAAAGUAGAAGAGUUUUUGGAUGGUGGAAGAGCAUGAGAGUGCCAAAAAGUAGAGGGAUGGAGUUCUUAAAAAGAGGAAGGAUGCUAAUCUUAAACAUGUGAUCAUCUCUGAGAAGUUGGAUAAGAAGGUGAGGAAUUUUGAUUUUAAGUUUCACUAGACUUCCUUGAAUUUCUGCUUUGUGCAUUGCAAUUGAAUAUGGAGUGCUUUGUGCAUUGCAAUUGAAUAUGUUGUCAAUGGCGUUGAGGUCGGUUUGCCGAGGCUGCAGACGCUUCCUGAAGGGAUAAUGCUGUUGAAAAGUAGCAAACAUGAGUACAAUACAGUUAAGUUUAUGUUGUCGAUGGCGUUGAGGUCGGGUUGCCGAGGCUACAAACGCUUCCUGUAGGUAUGUGUAUAUCAGAUUUCUUAAUGGAGUGAUGAAACUGUUUUGAAUUUAUAUUCUUA